AAGAUAUACUGAAAUUACACAAUGUAGUUUAUUCUAACCAUGUACCUUUGUUGCUUGAUAUUACUCUUCACAAUAUAUAGCAGCUGAAGGGAAUAAAAGCACGUGAAAUGUGACCCCUAAAUUAAUGAUAAUGUUUUAUUACAGUUAGAGGUAGUAGGCAAUAGUAGGAUAGUAGGAAUAGUAGCCAGUAAUACAGUGUAUUUUCUCUCUGUUUUGAGGAGCUGGAGCAUAUACUUGUACAAACUAUGUACAGGGAUAUUUUGUGAAAGGUGGAGGAUGCAUGCAAUCCUGUCAGAGUGGUCAUUACCUUGAUCAUGCUACUAAUUUGGAUGCAGAAGUUGCUAAAGAUGCAAUGCCUACUGUGUGGAUUGUAGCAGUCAAGGAGACAAAACCCUACAAGUUGACCAAGCCGCUAUAACCUAGGCUCUGGUGUCUGCAUAGUGGGGACAGUCUGCAAGGGUGGUGAGUGCAAUUCUCUGAAAAGAUGUGUUUUACUGCUGCCAGCUAUUUAUUUUAUAUGCAUUGAGUUUGGUCAGUACCUUUCUUGUCUUUUGUUAUAUCCUUCGUCUGAAGUCAACACUAUUUCUUAAUGUUUUCAGGUUCGUGAAAGAAGGAAAACCAAUGUUAGCAUGUAUUAGCAGGAUUAGCCCCAUUCACUUUAUAUGAAUUUUCCUAAAUAACUUCCUUGCCAACAACUGACUUUUUCUUUCUUAUCUGUUUUUCAAAAGCCUUUGCUUUCAGAAGAAUUUUAUAUGAAGACCCUUGUG
rnacentral:lncRNA from 1 species